ACGCUGGCGGCGUGCCUAAUACAUGCAAGUAGAACGCUGAAGCUUGGUGCUUGCACCGAGCGGAUGAGUUGCGAACGGGUGAGUAACGCGUAGGUAACCUGCCUCUUAGCGGGGGAUAACUAUUGGAAACGAUAGCUAAUACCGCAUAAAAGACGAUAUCGCAUGAUAUUGAUUUGAAAGGUGCAAUUGCAUCACUAAGAGAUGGACCUGCGUUGUAUUAGCUAGUUGGUGAGGUAACGGCUCACCAAGGCUACGAUACAUAACCGACCUGAGAGGGUGAUCGGCCACACUGGGACUGACACACGGCCCAAACUCCUACGGGAGGCAGCAUUAGGGAAUCUUCGGCAAUGGGGGCAACCCUGACCGAGCAACGCCGCGUGAGUGAAGAAGGUUUUCGGAUCGUAAAGCUCUGUUGUAAGAGAAGAACGAGUGUGAGAGUGGAAAGUUCACACUGUGACGGUAACUUACCAGAAAGGGACGGCUAACUACGUGCCAGCAGCCGCGGUAAUACGUAGGUCCCGAGCGUUAUCCGGAUUUAUUGGGCGUAAAGCGAGCGCAGGCGGUUAGAUAAGUCUGAAGUUAAAGGCUGUGGCUUAACCAUAGUACGCUUUGGAAACUGUUUAACUUGAGUGCAGAAGGGGAGAGUGGAAUUCCAUGUGUAGCGGUGAAAUGCGUAGAUAUAUGGAGGAACACCGGUGGCGAAAGCGGCUCUCUGGUCUGUAACUGACGCUGAGGCUCGAAAGCGUGGGGAGCAAACAGGAUUAGAUACCCUGGUAGUCCACGCCGUAAACGAUGAGUGCUAGGUGUUGGGUCCUUUCCGGGACUCAGUGCCGCAGCUAACGCAUUAAGCACUCCGCCUGGGGAGUACGACCGCAAGGUUGAAACUCAAAGGAAUUGACGGGGGCCCGCACAAGCGG
rnacentral:rRNA from 1 species